AUACGUAGGUGACAAGCGUUAUCCGGAUUUACUGGGCGUAAAGGGCGUGUAGGCGGUCUUGCAAGUCAGAAGUGAAAUUCCUGAGCUCAACUCGGGCGCUGCUUCUGAAACUGCAGGACUUGGGUGCUGGAGGGGAUAGCGGAAUUCUUAGUGGAGCGGUAAAAUGCGCAGAUAUUAGGAAGAACACCGGUGGCGAAGGCGGCUAUCUGGACAGUAACUGACGCUGAGGCGCGAAAGCGUGGGGAGCAAACAGGAUUAGAUACCCGGGUAGUCCACGCUGUAAACGAUGAAUACUAGGUGUAGGGGGUAUCGACUCCCUCUGUGCCGCAGUUAACACAAUAAGUAUUCCGCCUGGGGAGUACGGCCGCAAGGUUGAAACUCAAAUGAAUUGACGGGG
rnacentral:rRNA from 1 species